rnacentral:lncRNA from 1 species
GUUUGUUUGUUUUUUUUUUUUUUUUUUUUUUGGAAAUAUAUAGAUAGCGUAACCCUUACGAAACCCGGAAACUGAUACCAGAUGAUAUAACCUUGACCGGAAGAUGUUAAGAUCUUACCGAGAAUUAUGGAGUUUCACCGGAAAACACAAUAAUAACGUGAAAGGUAUAUGGGAUUCUGAUGCAGCCCAAGGUUCGUUGGUGCAAGAC